UGUUCGAUGGCUGAGUGAUUUAAGCGGUAGACUGUAGAUCUAUUUACGGAAUUAAUUUUCCUCAACAA
rnacentral:tRNA from 1 species